rnacentral:tRNA from 1 species
GAGGGUAUAGCUCAGUGGUAGAGUGCACGCCUAGCAUGUAUGCGGUUCUGGGUUCAAUGCCCAGUAGCUGUU